AGAGUUUGAUCAUGGCUCAGAACGAACGCUGGCGGCGUGGAUAAGACAUGCAAGUCGAGCGCUGAUUACAGGGUAGCAAUAUUCUGUGGUCGGAGCGGCGCAAGGGUGCGUAACACGUGGGUAAUCUGCCAUGAAGUUUGGAAUAACUUGCUGAAAGGCGAGCUAAUACCGGAUGUGAAAAUCGGAAGGCAUCUUUUGAUUUUCAAAGCUGGGGACCGUAAGGCCUGGCGCUUCAUGAUGAGCCCGCGGCCUAUCAGCUAGUUGGUGAGGUAACGGCUCACCAAGGCUAAGACGGGUAGCUGGUCUGAGAGGACGACCAGCCACACUGGAACUGAGACACGGUCCAGACACCUACGGGUGGCAGCAGUCGAGAAUUUUUCACAAUGGGCGCAAGCCUGAUGGAGCGACGCCGCGUGGGGGAUGAAUGGCUUCGGCCCGUAAACCCCUGUCAUUUGCGAGCAAACGUUGUUAUUUAAAAGAUGACAAUUUGAUAGUAGCGAAAGAGGAAGGGACGGCUAACUCUGUGCCAGCAGCCGCGGUAAUACAGAGGUCCCGAGCGUUGUUCGGAUUCACUGGGCGUAAAGGGUGCGUAGGUGGCGAGGUAAGUCGGAUGUGAAAGCUCGGAGCUCAACUCCGAAAUGGCAUUGGAAACUACCUUGCUCGAGGGUUGGAGGGGGGACUGGAAUGCUUGGUGUAGCAGUGAAAUGCGUAGAUAUCAAGCGGAACACCAGUGGCGAAGGCGAGUCCCUGGACAACUCCUGACACUGAGGCACGAAAGCUAGGGGAGCAAACAGGAUUAGAUACCCUAGUAGUCC
rnacentral:rRNA from 1 species